rnacentral:tRNA from 1 species
UGGGGGGUCGUCUAAGGGUAGGACGGCGGGUUCUGGCCCCGUUAGUGAGGGUUCGAAUCCUUCCCCCCCAGCCA